GCACUGAGAAUAUAACUCAUGACUGGGUAGUGACAGAGCACCCCAUGGAGGACACUGAGAAGGAGAGUCCAAGCUGGAGAGCUCAUCAUAAAUGCCAGACGAGGACGCUUUGGUGACUGCACGUGGCCUCUGCAGUGGAGCGCUCAUUUCCUGGAGGUGGCAUCUUAAUGAUCUGCGCAUGUCCUCCCUUUAUCUCAUCCAGACACAUGUAGAGUGGCUUCUCCUGACCUGAGCCCUGAGAUCUGCCAUGCUUAGGCCAAAUGAAACUUAUUUUAAUUGCUAGGAUGAACAACCAAAUUUUCUUCUCUUCUCUUCUUGGUAAAUGUUGUUACCAAACCUGGAGCACUCUUCUCUCAUCCUUCCUUCUAGCUCAUUUUCAUUAAUAAUAAAAGUGACAUAUUCGAUA